rnacentral:misc_RNA from 1 species
GUAGGUGAACCUGCGGAAGGAUCAUUAUUGAAACUUCAUCCGGGCCGCCGCGGCCCUCAGCACCGGUGGAAACGCCGUGUCGCGGGGGAAGCGUGCGCGCUCGUCCAAACCAAACCCCUGUGAACCUUUCGGGAGGGCCUGGGCUUAGCGCCUUGGGCCGUCCCGCUUUAUACAAACACUUAUAUGAGAAUGAAAUUGAAGGCGGUCUGACCGCUGGAUAACAAACUGAAACAACUUUCAACAACGGAUCUCUUGGCUCUC